UGGGAUGAGGACUGCAGUAUCUUCACCAUCAGCCAUAUCAGGCAGGUGGAGUUCAGGCAGGUGAAGUUCAGGCAAGACUGCAGGCACUGGUGGUGGAGUCGUGCACAGGGACUCGUCAACUGGCUGCAGGCAAUGAAUAGCAGGAUUACAGAAAGGAUAUGUGACCAUAAUUCCAUAGAAGACAGAAUUCCAAUUCUGGGAAGAAUCUGUGGAAGAAUUCCACAGAUACAUUGGCAAUUGGAAAUAGAAGUGACAUGGUCAGGAGGUCAAGAAAGAUAUGAGGACUGGACCCAGGAUAGCAGCCUCAUCAGACGUGGAGAUGUUAUAGUGGUCACAUGUGGGGCGAGCUUCUUCCCAACCUAGAGUAACACAACCUUGUAUACCAUAUAUGUCUGACCAAUUCUGGAGUACGCGGCUCCAGCCUGGAGUCCAUACCUUGUCAAGUAUACGGCAAAUCUGGAGAAGGUUGAAAGGUAUGCCACUAAACUAGUUCCAGAAGUAAGAGGUAUGAGUUACAGAAAACCAAUUCUAUUUGCUGACGACACGACUUUCAUUUACUACAGUCCUGACCCCUUUGCUCUAAAUGUCACAGUG